rnacentral:rRNA from 1 species
UACAGAGGGUGCAAGCGUUGCUCGGAAUUAUUGGGCGUAAAGGGUAGGUAGGUGGUCUCAUUUGUCUUAUGUGAAAUCCUUGGGCUUAACUCAAGAAGUGCGUAAGAAACGGUGAGACUGGAGUCCUGGAGAGGGUCGUGGAAUUCCCGGUGUAGCGGUGAAAUGCGUAGAGAUCGGGAGGAACACCAGAGGCGAAGGCGGCGACCUGGACAGGUACUGACACUCAACUACGAAAGCGUGGGGAGCAAACAGG